UACACGUACAACGCAAGUACAGCUGUAUGUCUGUCCCUGGUAUUAGGUUGCGGGUAGGCAGUAGAGCUGCAGAUGCAACAGUGUUGGCCUACGCUACGAAGUUUCCGAUCAUCUUGCCCAGGAAUCAUCGAACUACGGAUCUGCUGUUAGAUUUUUAUCAUCGGAAGUACGGCCAUGCCAACGAUAAGAUCAUCGUCAACGAAUCAACAAAAUAAGCUCUGUCCGGAAGCUGGCGUAUGGUUUAGCCGAAAUGAAUGGUAUUUAUCACCCUUUCAAUAGCCAAAAGCCAUUAGUCGGAAUAGAUUAGUUGGCUGGUCUUAGACAGCGCCACCCACAACUCUCACUUCGAACACCACAAACAACUUCCGCCGCCAGGGCACAAGGAUUCAAUUGCGUUGCAGUCAGGAAAUUCAACGAUUUACUGGAGAACGUGAUUCCAGUGCAGACCAAAAAUUCAAAAAUCCUAGCAAUGCGGGGAAAAAAGCAAAUGAGCGCUGUAAAUUCAGCUGAGCGUCGAGUGCUGAGCACGGAAUAACGAUUAUAAAAUCUUCCACAGGACAACCUGUGUUGCUACACAAUUCAGCUCCUCUGCGGACGACGAUGGAUGGAACCAAUGUUAUCGAUGCCACUAACUGCACAGAUAUUCUCUGUUCCUGCUUUGAAAAUUGCAUUCCAAUCACUUUGAUCACAUUGUUAUUUUUUGUACAUGCAAACUGAAUGAAACCCAAUGAAAUAUACGUGAUAGCAACAACAUAGAUUUAGCUUUCCUUUUAUGAGCUUGUUACGUUAUUUCCUAGCGAAAACAUGCUUAAAAGAUUGAAUCAACUAACAUGGUCAAAUUGCCCCGCACGGUGGCCCAUUUUGCCCUGUAGUGCUUACGAUCAUAACGAUAUAAAUUUUCCACAUAAAUCUUUUUUAAAGCAUAUUCAUACAAUAUACAUCGACCAAUAAGGUUUCCAAUCGUAAGGUUUCAACAUGUAGCAUAAUUUAUGAAUGUUCCUACAUGAUUUAGGACGUUUCGUUCUCAGGGGGACCAUAUUGCCCCUAUCUACCCUAUGUACAGACAUCCUCGUUCUGCCCGGUGCUCAUUCUUCGUGCAAAACGAGAAUCGGGUGAACAUACUUGUACAAAAAAAAAGACAACAGCUAGAAAAUAUGAACACUUUAUUCAGUAAAAAUUAUUUAGAUAGGGAGCAAGUGUUUGGCUUCAUCCAGAUGGAUGG